GGUCAGGUGAGGGGCGUUUCUCUUUGACACCAGGCUAAUAAUACAGCCUUACAGUAAUCAUCUCUUCUAUCUCUGGAAGACUUGCAAAGCAAAAUUGGCUCAUCAGUCCCAAGAGAAAGUCUGAGUAACUGUGGUUAAGGAGAUGAUACAUGGACCAGACUGGAUUCCAGCAGAAUGCAAAGGAUGAGAGCCUCAAGCAGCUACCCUGCACGGAGCCUUCAGUGCCUGAUUUCCUUCCUU